rnacentral:lncRNA from 1 species
UAUCGAGUUCCCGAGAAUGAGUUUUUAUUUAUGUGUUUUGAUUAAAGAAAAUCUUCGAUUAUUUAGAUUCAACGAGGAAAAUUGGAACCCAAUACGUUAGGGCUCAAUUCUUUCGAAGAUUCCAAAUACUGAACUUUGCGUUAUCUUGAAAGUUUUUGAAUAAAUUGGUUUUGAUACUUAAACCAUAUUAAACACAACUUUUUGAACGAAUAAAGCACAAUGGAAUAACAAUGCACGACGCGAGGCGAUAAUUCAUGAACCACAAUAUAUGUUAAUAAACACUAAUAAUAAAUGAAUACCAAUAAACAAAUACCAUACGCAUAAAGACAAUUAACAUUUAAAAGCUAAUAAUAAUAAUAAUACUAAGGAACAAGCGAAUUAAUACAAACACCAACCCAAUAUACAAGUUUGAAAUAACUAAAAAAAUACGAAAGAAAGGAAAUUAUAUAUUAAAAUAAAUUUAAAAUAAAUAAUAUAUAAAUGAAAAUUUGAAAUAAAUUAAAAAUACGGUUAAAGAUAAAUACUACAUAAAAUAAUAGUGUCC